UGCCUCAAGAGUCAAGACCCUGCUUUAUGGAGUGCAUGGAAUUUUCUUGGUAGCACCGAUGGUAAAGUGUGCUUAACAUACUGGCUAAAUGUGCUGCAGUGCUUUUCGGAGUUACAAGAGACUAGGUGGACAAUCUAAGGGAACUAAAUUAACAUGGAUUCCAGCACAGUGUGCUCAACAACCGGGAUCACUAGAUUGUGGCUACUACGUCAUGCGUUUUAUGUACGACAUAAUAAUGAAUCAUGGUAAUAGUCCAUAUCUUACUAAGGUAUGUUC